AUAUCAGUCAUGCAUAGCAUAUCAAUAAGCGGAGGAAAAGAAACUAACAAGGAUUCCCUUAGUAACGGCGAGUGAAGCGGGAAGAGCUCAAAUUUGAAAUCUUCAAGGUUUUACCUUGACGAAUUGUAGUUUAAAGAAGUGUUUUCUGUUGAAGUUUUGGUAAAAGUUCUUUGGAAUAGGACAUCAUAGAGGGUGAGAAUCCCGUAUUUGACCAUUACUUUCAGCUUUGUGAUACACUUUCAAAGAGUCGGAUUGUUUGGGAAUGCAGUCCAAAAUGGGUGGCUAAAUUUCAUCUAAAGCUAAAUAUUGGCGAGAGACCGAUAGCGAACAAGUACCGUGAGGGAAGAUGAAAAGAACUUUGAAAAGAGAGUUAAACAGUACGUGAAAUUGUCAAAGGGAAGCGUUUGACACCAGUGUUGUUUUCUCGAAAAUCAAUUAAAAAGAGUUGGAUUUUGUGUUGUAUUGACUUUAUCAGCUUUCUUCACUCUUUUCCAGCUUUUUUUAAUGCACUUUUCGUUUAACAAGUCAACAUCAGUUUCUUUUGUUGUAAAAAGGUCAUUGGAAGGUGGCUUUCUCUUCGGAGAAAGUGUUUAUAGCCUUUGACUCAUGCAAUCGGAGAGACUGAGGUCUGCAGCGUAGAUCCUUCGGGGUUAGAUACAUUUGUGCUAAGUUAUAGCAUUUUCAUAGACAACUUGUUGACUAUGAUUUAGUCUUGUAGCUUACUCGCUUAUGCUAUUUUACCUACGCUUAGGAUGUUGAACUCUAUCACACACA
rnacentral:rRNA from 1 species